UCACGUGCAGCACUGCUGGCCCUGCUGCUGGUGCUGCUGAUGCUGCUGCUGGCACUACUGGUGCUGCUUGUGCUGGUGUUGGUGCUGGUGACGAUGGUGCUACUGGUGCUGCUGCUGCUUCUGCUGGUGCUGCUGCUGCUUCUGCUGGUGCUGCUGCUGCUUCUGCUGGUGCUGGUACUGCUGGUGCUGCCACUGAUGCUGCUCGUGGUGCUGCUGGUGCUGCUUCUUCUGGUGCUGCUGCUCCUGGUGCUGGUCCAGCUCCUGGUGCUGCUGCUGAUGCUAUGGCUGGUGCUGCUGCUGGUGCUGCUGAUGCUGAUCCUGCCCCUGGUGCUACUGCUGGUGCUGGUGGUGCUGCUGCUGGCACUGGUGGUAGUGCUGCUGCUGGUUCUGCUGGUACUGCUGGUGCUGCUGGUCCUGGUGCUGCAGGUGAUGCUGCUGCUGCUGCUGCUGGUGCUGGUGGUGCUGCUGCUGCUGCUGGUACUGGUGCAGGUGCUGCUGGUGCUGCUGCUGGCACUGCUGCUGGUGCUGCUGGCACUACUGGUACUGCUGCUGGUGCUGCUGCUGUUGCUGCUGCUGGUGGUGCUGGUGGUGGUGCUGGUGGUGGUGCUGCUGCUGGUGCUGCUGGCGCUGCUGCUGGUGAUGCUGGUGAUGCUGGUGCUGAUCUUGCCCCUGGUGCUACUGCUGAUGCUGGUGGUGCUGCUGGUGGUGCUGGUUCUGGUGCUGCUGGCACUGGUGGUGGUGGUGGUGCUGCUGGCACUGCUGCUGAUGCUGCUGCUGGUGGUCGUGGUGCUGCUGCUGGUACUGGUGCUGGUGCUGCUGCUGGUGCUGCUGCUGCUGCUCGUGCUGGUGGUACUGCUGGUGAAGCUAGUGCUGGUCCUGUCCCUGGUGCUGCUGCCGCUGCUGGUUCUGCUGGUGCUGCUGGUGCUGCUGGUGCUGCUGGUGCUGGUGCUGCUGCUGCUGGUAGUGCUGCUGCUGCUGAUGCUACUGCUGCUGGUACUGCUGCUGCUGGUGAUGCUGGUGCUGGUACUGCUGGCACAGCUGGUGCUGUUGGUGCUGGUGCUGCUGGUCCUGCUGCUGCUGCUUCGGCUGCUGGUCGUGCUGCUGCUGGUGCUGCUUUUGGUGCUGGUGCUGGUGCUGCUGCUGUUGGUGCUGCUGGAGCUGGUUCUGCUGGUACUGCUGGUGCUGCUGCUGCUGCUGGUGCUGCUGGAGCUGGUGCUGCUGGAGCUGGUUCUGAUGGUACUGCUGGUACUGCUGGUGCUGCUGGUGCUGCUGGUGCUGCUGGUGCUGAUCCUGCCCCUGGUGCUGCUGCUCGUGCUGCUGCUGCUCAUGCUGCUGGUGGUGCUGCUGCUGGCGCUGCUGGUGAAGCUGGUGCUGGUGGUGGUGCUGCUGCCGGUGCUGGUGGUGAUGCUGGUACUGCUGGUGCUGCUGCUGGUGCUGCUGCUGCUCCUGCUGCUGGUGGUGCUGCUGCUGAUGCUACUGCUGGUGCUGCUGGCACUGGUGCUGCUGGUGCUGCUGGUGGUGGUGCUGCGAUCAUAUUUCCAGCACUGCCCCACACUGAGGGAUCAGACCCAG
ensembl:lncRNA